rnacentral:rRNA from 1 species
GAUCCUGGCUCAGGAUGAACGCUAGCGGCAGGCCUAACACAUGCAAGUCGAGAGGCAUCACGAGGUAGCAAUACUUUGGUGGCGACCGGCGCACGGGUGCGUAACGCGUAUGUAACCUACCUAUAACAGGGGCAUAACACUGAGAAAUUGGUACUAAUUCCCCAUAAUAUUCGGAGAGGCAUCUCGUCGGUAGAACUCGGUGUAUAGAUGGACAUGUCGUUUGUUAUUAGCUUAGGUUGGU